AACGAACGCUGGCGGCAUGCCUAACACAUGCAAGUCGAACGAGACCUUCGGGUCUAGUGGCGCACGGGUGCGUAACGCGUGGGAACCUGCCCUUAGGUUCGGAAUAACUCCCCGAAAGGGGUGCUAAUACCGGAUAAUGUCUUCGGACCAAAGAUUUAUCGCCUUUGGAUGGGCCCGCGUUGGAUUAGCUAGUUGUUAGGAUAAAAGCCUACCAAGGCGACGAUCCAUAGCUGGUCUGAGAGGAUGAUCAGCCACACUGGGACUGAGACACGGCCCAGACUCCUACGGGAGGCAGCAGUGGGGAAUAUUGGACAAUGGGCGAAAGCCUGAUCCAGCAAUGCCGCGUGAGUGAUGAAGGCCUUAGGGUUGUAAAGCUCUUUUACCCGGGAUGAUAAUGACAGUACCGGGAGAAUAAGCUCCGGCUAACUCCGUG
rnacentral:rRNA from 1 species